GGGGUUGUAGCUCAGUGGUGGAGCGUUUGCCUCACACGUGUGAGGCACUGGGUUCGAUCCUCAGCACCCCA
rnacentral:tRNA from 1 species